rnacentral:rRNA from 1 species
UACGUAGGCAGCGAGCGUUGUUCGGAAUUACUGGGCGUAAAGAGUGUGUAGGCGGUGCUCUAAGUUCGGUGUGAAAUCUCCCGGCUUAACUGGGAGGGUGCGCCGGAAACUGGAGUGCUCGAGCGUGGGAGAGGAAAGCGGAAUUCCUGGUGUAGCGGUGAAAUGCGCAGAUAUCAGGAGGAACACCGAUGGCGAAGGCAGGUCUCUGGGCCACUACUGACGCUGAGAAGCGAAAGCAUGGGGAGCGAACAGG